rnacentral:rRNA from 1 species
GAUGAACGCUGGCGGCGUGCCUAAUACAUGCAAGUCGAGCGAACGGACGAGAAGCUUGCUUCUCUGAUGUUAGCGGCGGACGGGUGAGUAACACGUGGAUAACCUACCUAUAAGACUGGGAUAACUUCGGGAAACCGUAGCUAAUGCCGGAUAAUAUUUUGAACCGCAUGGUUCAAAAGUGAAAGACGGUCUUGCUGUCACUUAUAGAUGGAUCCGCGCUGCAUUAGCUAGUUGGUAAGGUAACGGCUUACCAAGGCAACGAUGCAUAGCCGACCUGAGAGGGUGAUCGGCCACACUGGAACUGAGACACGGUCCAGACUCCUACGGGAGGCAGCAGUAGGGAAUCUUCCGCAAUGGGCGAAAGCCUGACGGAGCAACGCCGCGUGAGUGAUGAAGGUCUUCGGAUCGUAAAACUCUGUUAUUAGGGAAGAACAUAUGUGGAAGUAACUGUGCACAUCUUGACGGUACCUAAUCAGAAAGCCACGGCUAACUACGUG